GUCAAAUCUAAGGAUUUUUUUCAGCAGGCUUCCUGCAUGGGAGCUUCUAGAAGUAGUGAGCCCUCAAAGCUGCUUGGCCUUCCUCAUCUCUCUGAUUUCAUCUCCUGCUCUGAUCCUCCCAUGUCUCCUCUCCUUCACCCUGGAACCCAGGCCAGCAGUAGAAGCCAGUGUCCUAGAAGGAGCUCCACCUUGAGAAGUUCUGCUUCCAUCGGGGGCUUCUCGACCCUGGAGUGAACCCUCAAAGAACAGACACCCAGUCUGUCUGCUGGCUCUUCCUCAGAAGAACUUUCCUAUUUGCUCUGUGAUCUUACCAUCACUGCCCAGGAAGAGGUGGGCCAGGCAAGCAAAGAGGUCUCCAAGGCCCAGAAGAGGUUUGAAGCUUCUGUUUGGCUCACAUUCACCCAUUCCAUCAUUUUUAAGAAAACUUUCCACAAAUGAGAUGCUUAUGGAAGCAUAUCAUAGACUACUAUCCAAACACAGUAAUUGUUACUAUUUUUCUACCAUAUUGUAAAUCCCUUUCUGGGUGGAGACUCCAGCUUAUUAAUCUUUGAAUCCUUAGGACUUGGCACAGCAUCUGGUUCACAAUAAAUCCUCAAAACACACAUUGAAUGAAUGAAUG
rnacentral:lncRNA from 12 species